rnacentral:rRNA from 1 species
AACGAACGCUGGCGGCAUGCUUAACACAUGCAAGUUGAACGCAGAAUAGAACUUCGGUUCUAUUGCUGAGUAGCAGACGGGUGAGUAACGCGUGGGAAUCUACCUUCUUGUGAGGAAUAACUGAGGGAAACUUCAGCUAAUACCGCAUAAGCUCUACGGAGGAAAGGCUUCGGCCGCAGGAAGAGGAGCCCGCGUCAGAUUAGGUAGUUGGUGGGGUAAAGGCCUACCAAGCCAAUGAUCUGUAGCUGGUCUGAGAGGAUGAUCAGCCACACUGGGACUGGGACCCGGCCCAGACUCCUGCGGGAGGCAGCAGUGGGGAAUAUUGGACAAUGGGGGAAACCCUGAUCCAGCAAUGCCGCGUGAAUGAAGAAGGCCUUAGGGUUGUAAAGUUCUUUCACCUGUGAAGAUAAUGACGGUAGCAGGAGAAGAAGCCCCGGCUAACUCCGUGCCAGCAGCCGCCGUAA